rnacentral:rRNA from 1 species
CCUACGGGAGGCUGCAGUGAGGAAUAUUGGUCAAUGGGCGCGAGCCUGAACCAGCCAAGUCGCGUGAGGGAAGACGGUCCUAUGGAUUGUAAACCUCUUUUGUCGGGGAGCAAAAGACUCCACGCGUGGCGUUCCGAGAGUACCCGAAGAAAAAGCAUCGGCUAACUCCUUGCCCGCAGCCGCGGUAAUACGGGGGCUGCGAGCGUUAUCCGGAUUUAUUGGGUUUAAAGGGUGCGCAGGCGGAGGAUCAAGUCAGUGGGAAAAUUUAGAGGCUCAACCUCUUCGAGCAGUUGAAACUGGUUUUCUUGAGUGAGUGAGAAGUAUGCGGAAUGCGUGGUGUAGCGGUGAAAUGCAUAGAUAUCACGCAGAACUCCGAUUGCGAAGGCAGCAUACCGGCGCUCAACUGACGCUCAUGCACGAAAGUGUGGGUAUCGAACAGGAUUAGAUACCCCGGUAGUC